UCCCCUGGCCGGGCUGCAUGGAGCCGCGCUUCACGGAAAACAAGGGAAUGAGGAAGAGACCGAUGAAGCAGCCACGCUUGUCCGGGAUUCUCUCAUUCUGCUGCGUUUAGCUGGGCUCUGUCUAUUCUUUUCCCUCCCUCUCUUGCACUCUCUUUCUCAUCGAUUCCCUCCAACUGUCCGUCCGAGAACAACUGCGCUCGAUCUCUCCCGGCCGUCGUUUUCUCGUCCACUCUCUUGCGUUCACACACACGCAUAGACCGACAAGACUUCUCGUUCCUCUUUCUCCUUUCACAUACCAGACGAAGGCUAGGGUGUGUGCGGCGAGCAGGAGACGCAGACGAAGCGGCGAGAAAUGAAAGCACAAAGCAGCAAAACGCAUCAGCAUGAAUAUUAGAGAUGUCGU